AGAUAACGGAAUUCGAUGCAAUUCCAAAAUCAAUUCAUGAAAUCAUAAUUCACUUCAGUUCCAUUCUAUUGUGGUUUUGUAUGUUAGGGUAGUCUGUUGCUUAACACCCUGCAACUUCACCGCUUGUCGAUUACCCUCUCCGUCUUUCACGUUUAUUACUUCUACUCCAGCCCCACAUUUUACCAGUGUCUCAAACGCGCUAACAAUUUACUAAACCUACUAUAAUUUGGCUGCAAAACUUCACAAUAGCAAGCUGGCAUAUAAUGUUGUUUCUAUAUUAGAACAUUUACAUAACUUGCAGUUCAUGUAGUAUUUUUAGAAUGCGCAUAUUCUACAUUCAUAUGCCCUACGAAGCAUAUAUGCCUCCUGAUCGAUGGUUUUGUCGGAACACCAUAACUUCUUUUUUUAUUAUAUCUUUCUAAGAAUCCAUGAAUUCUUUUAAUUUACGGCGCUCGAAGCUAGCCAUACAUUUAAUGUUGUUUAUGCUCUGUAAUGUGCUCUGUUGUCGCCAAUUCCUAUUGGUGUUCAAAGUUCAGCGUCCAUUCACUUAGGAUCAACCGACUUUCUGUUUCUUAAUUAAUUUUGUUUUCCAGAAUUCAAGUGUGAUAAAUGCUUCUUUCAUGUUGCUCGUGAAAGUAAUUUUAGUUAUCGGUGAGCAUGCAGUAGAUAGGGAAGUGCGAGUUUGGAGAUUGUUUAUCCUUCUGAAGAUUUGGAUUCUUGGCAAAUUUUGUGUCCCGAGAAGACAUAAUGAUGCUUUAUUUAGAUCAACAAUGUCCUUUAUGUGGGUACGCCAACCGUCCAACAGUCCCUCCCCAAAAUACGUCUAAAUUGUUGGGUCAGUGAUAACGGUCGUACCAAGUACAGUUUUCUCAGAACUGAAAAUUACGGUCGUUUCUUUGCCCGCCUUGUGAGACUCCGUGCUUGUAAGAACAUGGUUCUGUUAUUCGAAGUUAUAUUGGCCUUUCCUUGUUCCAUGAUUCCAUCAUCAUGGCAAAAAAGUUUGUCCUGUUGUUAAAUAGUAAUACGAGUAGUAUCAUUACAAGUAUUGAGAGGAUGUUGUGACCUUUGCAGUGUGUCUAUUGAAUUAUUCCAAGCAGGUAGAUUUCACGCCUCUUCUCUAUAGCGGAAAAUCUUCGAGGGUGAUAUUUCAGCUGCAUCAGAGUCAUCCAUUUUGUCUGCCAACUGCUGUCACCUGUUCUCUUGCACGUUACUUCCCCCGAAAAGGCUACCCUAGCCAGAAAUUCGCUUGCAAGACAAGGCUAUGAUGUUCGAGCACCAGCAAUGGAAGAAAUUAUUGGAGAAGAAGAAAAUAUUGGAGAACAAGAAGUUGUAUAAGAGUUUAAGUGAAAAGAGGGUGUGAGGAAGUUGUGUAGUGCCAUUAGUCUAUCAGUUGAAAGUUUUCUUGGAGUUUUGCCCAUGUACCGGGGCAGUUAUAUUUUAGUUGGUACAAGGAAACUUGGGAUGAAAAUAGUUAUGGGAAUAGAGAAUUUUUCUCUUCACUUCUUUCUUGUUUCUAUACGUGGCUGCUAUAUCAUCAUCUAGAUGUUAUGAAAUGCCCUGAAGAGAUGAUUAUUUGUAACCAAUUAUGUAAUUAAUCGUGCUAGCUUUCUGUUA